rnacentral:misc_RNA from 1 species
GAAAUGCGAUACGUAGUGUGAAUUGCAGAAUUCCGUGAACCAUCGAAUCUUUGAACGCAUAUUGCGCUCGAGCCCUCGGGCAAGAGCAUGUCUGCCUCAGCGUCGGUUUAUAACCUCACCCCUCUCUCCUUUUGGAGAGCUGGUUAGCUUCUAGCUGGCCUUAGGAGUGGAUCUGGCUUUCCCAUUUGGUUUAUUCUGAAUGGGUUGGCUGAAGCUUAGAGGCUUAAGCAAGGACCCGAUAUGGGCUUCAACUGGAUAGGUAGCACCGGCUUCUGCCGACUACACGAAGUUGUGGCUUGUGGACUUUGCUAGAGGCCAAGCAGGAAACAUGCUUUGCAUGUCUUAAACUUUCGACCUGAGCUCAGGCAAGGCUACCCGCUGAACUUAA